UACGGAGGGUGCAAGCAUUAAUCGGAUUUAUUGGGCGUAAAGGGCGCGUAGGCGGGUUUGUAAGUCAGAUGUGAAAUUCCGAAGCUCAACUUCGGGACUGCAUUUGAAACUGCGAAUCUGGAGGGAUGGCGGAGAAAAUGGAAUUCCACAAGUAGCGGUGAAAUGCGUAGAUAUGUGGAAGAACACCGGUGGCGAAAGCGGUUUUCUGGCUAUUACCUGACGCUAAAGCGCGAGAGCAAGGGGAGCAAACAGG
rnacentral:rRNA from 1 species